UACGAAGGGGGCUAGCGUUGCUCGGAAUCACUGGGCGUAAAGCGCACGUAGGCGGAUCGCUAAGUCAGGGGUGAAAUCCUGGAGCUCAACUCCAGAACUGCCCUUGAUACUGGCGAUCUCGAGUCCGGGAGAGGUGAGUGGAACUGCGAGUGUAGAGGUGAAAUUCGUAGAUAUUCGCAAGAACACCAGUGGCGAAGGCGGACUCACUGGCCCGGGUACUGACGCUGAGGUGCGAAAGCGUGGGGAGCAAACAGGG
rnacentral:rRNA from 1 species